GUGGAGGCGCCUAGAGAGGGUGAGCACAGGUGUCAUCCUUUACAUCACAUCCCAACAUGAACCCAGUUCUCCCACUUGGUCUCUUUGCACUUAUUGCAAGGAUUGUACUGACCUCUCCCUUCUUUUUCCAACAGUGAAUACUUCCUGAAUCCCAGGUUCUUUGCUUGAUGCUGAGCUGGUUUCAAAAUAGACACACAGAGACCUUGCAGUCUCCUGAGGGGAGCGGCAUCAGGUAUUUGUGCUGCUGUGUGGUGAGGGCUCAGCUGCAGAUGAGCAGACUGCAGAAGGUCAGGGAGAAGACAGCAUUCCAGUGGGCUUUAAAGGGUCAGGAGAGUUAUACCAAGCCCAGGGGGUUGGGGAAAGGGCAUUUAAGGCUGAGGAAACAGCUUUGAAAGGACCUAAGUGUGAGCAUGCCUUGGGCACUGGUGAGUGUCUCCGUGUACACUGUCUGUAAUGUGUGUGUGUGUGUGUGUGUGUGGAGGUGGGAAGGGAGGCUGGAGGUGAGGAGGCUGUGAAGGUGGUCCUCAGACAGGUGGUCAAGGGUCUGCAGAUUUAGACUCUGUUCUGUGGGCCGAGGGCAGGGAGGCAUGGAGACAGAUGGGUAUGGGGUGUCUGAGGUCAGUUCGCACCAGUUAGUAAGAGUUAAUUGUUACUUUUUCUGAGUUUUGUGAACUGGUUGAUUUGACAUUAGUAGUUUAAACUCAGUGACAGUGGGCAUGUUCAUACCCACUGUCAUAGA
ensembl:lncRNA